GAUGAACGCUAGCUACAGGCUUAACACAUGCAAGUCGAGGGGAAACGACAUCGAAAGCUUGCUUUUGAUGGGCGUCGACCGGCGCACGGGUGAGUAACGCGUAUCCAACCUGCCCACCACUUGGGGAUAACCUUGCGAAAGUAAGACUAAUACCCAAUGAUAUCUCUAGAAGACAUCUGAAAGAGAUUAAAGAUUUAUCGGUGAUGGAUGGGGAUGCGUCUGAUUAGCUUGUUGGCGGGGUAACGGCCCACCAAGGCAACGAUCAGUAGGGGUUCUGAGAGGAAGGUCCCCCACAUUGGAACUGCGACACGGUCCAAACUCCUACGGGAGGCAGCAGUGAGGAAUAUUGGUCAAUGGACGAGAGUCUGAACCAGCCAAGUAGCGUGCAGGAAGACGGCCCUAUGGGUUAUAAACUGCUUUUAUAAGGGAAUAAAGUGAGUCUCGUGAGACUUUUUGCAUGUACCUUAUGAAUAGAGACCGGCUAAUUCCGUG
rnacentral:rRNA from 1 species